rnacentral:sRNA from 1 species
GGAAGAUUCGAACCUGCCGCAGGUUCGGGUCGAACGCAGUGAGACAACGGAGCCGUUUACGGCGACGGCCCGUAGGGCGAGCGAAGCGAGUCAUCCUGCACGACCCACCA